AGGGAAUCUUCGGCAAUGGGGGCAACCCUGACCGAGCAACGCCGCGUGAGUGAAGAAGGUUUUCGGAUCGUAAAGCUCUGUUGUAAGAGAAGAACGAGUGUGAGAGUGGAAAGUUCACGCUGUGACGGUAACUUACCAGAAAGGGACGGCUAACUACGUGCCAGCAGCCGCGGUAAUACGUAGGUCCCGAGCGUUAUCCGGAUUUAUUGGGCGUAAAGCGAGCGCAGGCGGUUAGAUAAGUCUGAAGUUAAAGGCUGUGGCUUAACCAUAGUACGCUUUGGAAACUGUUUAACUUGAGUGCAGAAGGGGAGAGUGGAAUUCCAUGUGUAGCGGUGAAAUGCGUAGAUAUAUGGAGGAACACCGGUGGCGAAAGCGGCUCUCUGGUCUGUAACUGACGCUGAGGCUCGAAAGCGUGGGGAGCAAACAGGAUUAGAUACCCUGGUAGUCCACGCCGUAAACGAUGAGUGCUAGGUGUUGGGUCCUUUCCGGGACUCAGUGCCGCAGCUAACGCAUUAAGCACUCCGCCUGGGGAGUACGACCGCAAGGUUG
rnacentral:rRNA from 1 species